CAGAAGUGAUGCACAGAAUUUCCCUUUCCAAGACACCUGUGCACCCGGGCAUGUACAGGUCCACGUACAUGACGGACUACAGGCCAUACACAGGCUGCCAUGAACACCUGCCCAUCAAGGAUCGCUCACAGAAACUGAAACUGGAAGCCCAGCUCAAGAAGAAAGAGUUCGAGAGGCCUGUUGAAUGUCAGCCGGUGAAGUACAUCGAAGAGCCUGGCUGUCAAGAAGUUAGACCACCGUAUCCCAUCAGAAUGGAUGGGAGGUUGUCAAAAGGACACCAAGCUCCACCAUNGUUUGAGCAGGUCCAAGAAGAUCAGCAAAGCUUAUAUCCACCUGUAAUCCAGCAGCAGGAAGAAGAAAGGCCACCUCAGCAAACAGUUGUGCCUCCUAUGUCAGGUCAUCUAGGCACUCCCUGUAUUGAUCACGAACAGGGCCAGAACUGGAAUGACUACCAUCAGUUCAUCUUGGAAAUGCAGAGAGCCAAUCAUAUUCAGCUGAAAGAAAUUAAGAAAUCACACCUGGGGUCAUCUGUGUUUCCACCAGGUCAGUUCAAC
rnacentral:lncRNA from 1 species